CAGCAGCCACGGUAAUACGAAGGGGGCUAGCGUUGUUCGGAAUUACUGGGCGUAAAGGGCGCGUAGGCGGCCAUUCAAGUUAGAUGUGAAAGCCCUGGGCUCAACCUAGGAAUUGCAUUUGAUACUGUUUGGCUUGAGCUCGGGAGAGGUGAGUGGAAUUCCCAGUGUAGAGGUGAAAUUCGUAGAUAUUGGGAAGAACACCAGUGGCGAAGGCGGCUCACUGGACCGACACUGACGCUGAGGCGCGAAAGCGUGGGGAGCAAACAGGAUUAGAUACCCGUGUAGUCCCUGUCUCUUAUAC
rnacentral:rRNA from 1 species